UACGUAGGGGGCAAGCGUUGUCCGGAUUUACUGGGCGUAAAGGGCGCGUAGGCGGCCAGCACAAGUCAGUUGUGAAAUCUCCGAGCUUAACUCGGAAAGGUCAACUGAUACUGUGCGGCUAGAGUGCGGAAGGGGCAACUGGGAAUUCUUGGUGUAGCGGUGAAAUGCGUAGAUAUCAAGAGGAACACCUGCGGCGAAGGCGGGAUUGCUGGGCCGACACUGACGCUGAGGCGCGAAAGCCAGGGGAGCGAACGGG
rnacentral:rRNA from 1 species